GAUGGAGCAUCACCAACUCCUGGAUUAAUAAUAUCCGUCGAUUAUAAAUUAGAAACAAAAGUAAAACUAUUUCAACCGUCGUCAAAUUUAGCGCUCACAAAAAAUGCAGUGAGAAAGGAGUUGUAGGGAAUUUUCUGACAACGAUCAAUGCGAAGAGGGGCAAAUUCGUCCAUAUGGAUUAUUAACCAACUAAAGCAUAGCCAAGUAACCACGGUUAAUCAUCCAACCGUCAAAGGUACAUCAUCCAGUUUCAGCUGCAUGUACUGACAAUCGAUUCUACACCACCACGUGUCCAACCGCCACCAGAAAAGAACAAAAAACAAAAUUGACCUGCGGGCCCCGAAAAGCACCAAGAGCCUGGGACACGUGUUCCUCAGGUCGACGCAAACAGUGGGUCGCGGUUAACGUCCGCACUAACGGAGCGCAGCCGUUACGCUGUCGUGGCGUUAGGUAGCAGGCGUGGUCCCGGACUGGACAUUAGACGACAACUAGAGAUCUUGGCGACGGCGACCGUCAGCGACCACGUGUCCCCCGCGAGACAAGGAGUUAUAAUAGGUAGCGGGAGGAGGCCACUGCGAGGGCGCCACGUGGUGAGGCGUGGAAACAUUCGGAAGGUAAAAGAGGACAGCUCAUUCAUAGGCGUGAAGGAGCAGUAAGGCCUAGUGCUAGACUACAAAAAUUACAUGGGACCUGAGCUGUCAUUAGAGAGAGAGACAGUGAUAUGGUUACUUGCAGGGGAACUCCACUUUACUCACUGACGCCCUCAAUCUAAGAUUUCAAGUCAACCAAGCAAUCGGAUAAGAGCCAUGACUCGUUGGUAUGAAAAGAGUGCGGUUCUGAACUUUAUUAACAGGUAGUGGUUAUGGUGCAUUAGGCAUAUCGCAUCUUAAAAAUUAUAAUAUU
rnacentral:lncRNA from 1 species